rnacentral:rRNA from 1 species
GACGAACGCUGGCGGCGUGCUUAACACAUGCAAGUCGAACGGAAAGGCCCUGCUUUUGUGGGGUGCUCGAGUGGCGAACGGGUGAGUAACACGUGAGUAACCUGCCCUUGACUUUGGGAUAACUUCAGGAAACUGGGGCUAAUACCGGAUAGGAGCUCCUGCUGCAUGGUGGGGGUUGGAAAGUUUCGGCGGUUGGGGAUGGACUCGCGGCUUAUCAGCUUGUUGGUGGGGUAGUGGCUUACCAAGGCUUUGACGGGUAGCCGGCCUGAGAGGGUGACCGGCCAAAGUGGGAGGGAGAGAAGGAAGGGAGUAGUACGGGAGGGAGGAGGGGGGAAGGGUGUAGAGGGGGAGGGAGGCGGAUGCAGCAACGCCGGGUGGGGGAGGAGGGGCGGGGGGGUGGAAAGAGCAGGCGCCUGGGAAGAAGCGAGAGUGAAGGUAAUGGGUAAAGAAGCGCCGGCUAACUACGUG